CUUUAUUUCUCUUUUAGCUGUGUUAUCCUUUAUGACAGGAAACUUUUCUUGAUGUAUCACCUGAGUCAUAUAUGAAUAAGGCUUUUUUCUCCAUUAUCUGAGUAAUUUAUGACUAAGCCUCUUUCUCUAUCACCGGGUUUAUCAUAUAUUAAUGACCGAAUACUUUAUUCUUGAUCAGUCUUUCUCUUCAUCUGUGUGAUGGUUGGAAACCCUUUUUCUCUUAUCACUUUAGUUUGAUCUUUUGUUCUCUGUCAUUGAGUUGUCAUUUGGGACUGGGGCCGUCUUCCCCAUCCCCUGAGUUCUGCUUUAUGACAGCACCUGUCUUUCUCCAAAUCGUGUUGUAGUUCAGGGUUGGACACCUUUCUCUGUCUCCUGAGUUGCCAUUUAUGAUGAGAAAUCACCACUCAUCUAUUGCACUUGUUCUUCGUUUUGGAAGCCUCCUUUCUCUAUCACCUGAUUAUUAUUACUGGAAAUUUCUGUCUGUGUCACCUGAGUUAUGGUUUUCCUCUGGCGUUAUUAUUUUUACUGGAAACCUCCUUUCUCUGCCCCGUCCGAGCUGUUCUCGUGGCCGCAGCCUCCUCCUCCCGCCCUGCAGGGGCCGCCAUGCCCGCUCCCCGCCCGCCCUUCCUGGCCCCCUGGCCUCCCCGUUCCCUGUCAGCCGAGCUUUAUGACUGAAGCUUUGCUGCGUCUGUCAUCUUGGUGUCCUCUACGAAAACCUUCCCAGAGCUCUUCACACUCCACACAUGGUUUUUUAUUUAGUGUUUUUUUUUUUUUUUUCCUACCUCGACAGCGUUUUCCUGGGGAAAGCAGGCACCGAGAGGUUCCAGAGGAACGUGGCGCUGUGCUCCCGCGUCCUCGACUUCCCUGUUGUACAGAUUUAUUUUUUCCUCACUUUGUGUUUUUUUUUUUGCCGUCAGCUGGAGAAACGCUCUCUGAAUAUUUCCCAGGGAGGACGGACUUGAAGGCCGCGCGAGGCACCAGACGGGAACGGGCGGAAAGGGAGGAACGGCUGGAUGGCGCCUGCGCCUGGCGACCCCGCGUGCCCGAGGCCGGAGGGACCCGCCCCAGCCUGUGGGCUGUGUCAGGGCCGCUCUCAGGGCGGCUUCGUGGGGACUCGGGCCCUGCCCCAGGCCGGGCAGGGUGUGACCGCCCCAAGUGCGGGAGGCUGCGUCUACACCCGCGCCGAGGACCCUGGAUGCCAGAUGGCAUCCUGAAAGCAGAGACCAUCAAAGCCAUCCUGACCAGACAUUCCUUCCUAAGUUCAAGAAACAAGCAGCACAGGAAGAAACAACUGUCUUACAAGAGUAAAUGCUUCUGAGAAGAAGAAACUCUACUGAAAAUGUCCGCAUAAAGAGGUUAUAGCAAACCAAGAAAAGAAGCACAAAAAUAAUUCAGAACUCACAGAAUCAAAGCGGAGAGUUUAAGAAGUGGGGCUGAAGAGGCUGACCUGGCCCGAAGCAGGCAUCUGGAGGUUCUCAUUAGUGACAAGGGGUGGAGGUGGCUCCGGAGAAGCAGGAAGCAGACAGAGAGAGAGGGAGGGAGGAUGGCAGGAAAAUGCAGGGAACUUUGUGCUCAUUUAGAAGAAACCCCUCUCAUUUUUAAGGAUCUGGCUUCUUGAGAGAAAAGCACAACCUCAAAUCACAGAGGCUCAAGGUAGAAGCAGAGUUCAGUGGGGCCCUGGGAAGGUGUCACCCAGGCGGAUGAGCAGCCCUCACAAUCUGGGGAUCAGGAGGGCCAAGGGCUAUAGGGAACUGCCUGGUGCCAGUGGGGAGGGUCCCCAAGGCCACAGCUGUUGUGCCCUCCGGGUGGUGGAGGCCACACACGUGCCCAGGGCUGUAACUUCCAGUGCUCUUCAUGUUCCCCACCUGGGCAACCCCAGGGCUCCUUGUGCUCCUCAAGUGCCCUGCACUCCCCUGCUCUCUGUGCUCCCUGCUCUGUGCUCCCCAUGCUCCUUGUGUGCCGUGUGCUUCCAGGACUCCUUGCAUUCUCCAUGCUCUCCCUGCUCCACAUGUUCUCUGUACUCCCCUGCUCCUCGUGCUCCUGGUGCUCCCCGUACUCCUCAUGUUCCCUAUACUCCUCGUGUGCCCUGUGCUUCCAGUGCUCCUUAUAUCUUCAUGCUCCCCAUGCUUCCCAUGCUCCCCAUACUCCUUGUGCGCCCUGUGCUUCCAGUGCUCCUUAUAUUCUCCGUGCUCCGUGUGCUCCACAUACUCCUCAUGCUCCCCAUGCUCUCCGUGCUCCUUGUGUGCCCAUGAUCACUCUCCAUGCUCCUCCUGCCUCCUCUGACUCUGACUCCUCCUGCCACGGGGGAUGUGGGCCAGGGAGGAAUUGGAGUGGAAGGAGAGUGCGGUCUUGUCCGACUCUGGUUAAAAUUUCUCUUUUUUGCUCAUCACUGGGAUGUAACUGUGGGAACACUUUGCUAAGGUCCCUCCCAGGACGUGUACAUGUGCAGCCUCUGGUCUUUGUGGUUUUGCAUAAGUGCAUUGCCCCAUAAAAAGCAGGUUCCAAAGGGUCAAUUGCCAUCAAUGUGAACUAAGGUUAUUAGGAAAAUGUGGACUCCACAUUGCUGUCUGAGACUCAGAUUGGGGAUCUGGCUGGUGCUGCGCAGGGCUUGGCAGAUGAUUCCUGGCCACGCUGACCCUGAGAGAGACAGAACCCACAGAGACCGCAGGGUGCUGACCACAAGGGCAGUCUGUUGGAGGCACCAGCCCUCCCCACAACUUGAUGUACUGUGUGUUGCUGUUGGUGAUGUCCCGAUGCCAUCAAUUCAACCCACCACCAAGGCACUCCUCUUGGAGAGUGAGUCUGCAGAGAUCUGAGACCAGGUGUGCUCCAGGACGGAGUUAGGCUGACUGGCCGCUGCUGCUGGAACUCUCCUGGGGAGCCGGAGCUACUGGGUUGGAGAGGCCUGGCGGGGCUGCCCGUUCAGCUCUGGAGCCCGGCAGGAGUGCCAGCUCCACACAGCAGCCCACGUGUUCUGUGGCUUCAGCUCCGUUUGUCAGGGUGCAGGGUGGCGGCUGGCUGACCAGUGUCCCCCUUGGCCGCGGCUUCUGCCAGGAGCGCAGAGAGGAGCAUCAGCAUAGCUCUGGCGGAUGCCCCAGGUCCCACUUUAUCACCUCUCCCCGUCUCCUGCCUGGACUGCAAAAUGAAAAAUGCUGAACUGGAAAACCUGCCAGCAGAUGUCCUGGACGCCUGUGAAAGCAUCAACCUUCAAGGCGCCAACGGGGUGCAAAGUGUUCAUUAAACUUCGUGGCCCCAAGCUCACGUCUGUGCCAGGAACACAGCCGCCACCCUGGAGCUGUCCGGCUCUGUAAUCAAUCUCAGUGCAGAACACAGCAGCCAGAUGCAGAGCUUUCAAUAAAAGUGUGGUCUCAUGGAUGUGCCCUGUAGUGCUCAGCAAAGGGCUGCUCUCCUGGGGAGAGACGCACGGGACAGCCUGGUUUCCCUGGUUCCUCCACCGCAGGCUGCUUUGGAGCAGGAAAUAACAAGAGCUGGCGAUGCAGCCUCGCCUCAGUAGAGCCAGGCGUUGUUCUGCACCGUUUUGGAGGAGGGUAAACCUGGGUAAACACAAAGCAGAUUGGGAGCAUGUGUUCUGAGCGCUGUCGUCCACAGCCUGCUGCAGGCGCUGAAAUGUACCUUGGCGACUUUUUAAGGUGACCCCAUUGUUCCCAGGCUGCUUUUGUAACUGGAGAGCUGUAGUGCUUCUUUGCUACAUCAUGGAAACUGCUUUAACAAAAAUAGACUUCUGCAUCCAA